AGAGUUUGAUCCUGGCUCAGGAUGAACGCUAGCGGCAGGCCUAAUACAUGCAAGUCGGGCGGCAAGUCGAGCAGCAAUGUGAGACCUAGAGCGGCGGACGGGUGCGUAACGCGUAUGCAACCUGCCCCUUACCGGGGGAUAGCCCGGGGAAACCCGGAUUAAUACCCCAUAGGAUAACACUGUGGCAUCACGGAGUUAUUAAAGAUUUAUCGGUAGGGGAUGGGCAUGCGUAGGAUUAGUUAGUUGGCGGGGUAACGGCCCACCAAGACUUUGAUCCUUAGGGGUUCUGAGAGGAAGGUCCCCCACACUGGCACUGAGAUACGGGCCAGACUCCUACGGGAGGCAGCAGUAGGGAAUAUUGGGCAAUGGGCGGGAGCCUGACCCAGCCAUGCCGCGUGCAGGAAGAAGGCGUUAUGCGUUGUAAACUGCUUUUAUACGGGAAGAAAAGGCCCAUGCGUGGGACAUUGCCGGUACCGUAUGAAUAAGCACCGGCUAACUCCGUGCCAGCCGCCGCGGUAAUUC
rnacentral:rRNA from 1 species